AUUGAACGCUAGCGGGAUGCUUUACACAUGCAAGUCGAACGGCAGCGCGGACUUCGGUCUGGCGGCGAGUGGCGAACGGGUGAGUAAUGUAUCGGAACGUGCCCAGUAGCGGGGGAUAACUACGCGAAAGCGUAGCUAAUACCGCAUACGCCCUACGGGGGAAAGCAGGGGAUCGUAAGACCUUGCACUAUUGGAGCGGCCGAUAUCGGAUUAGCUAGUUGGUGAGGUAACGGCUCACCAAGGCGACGAUCCGUAGCUGGUUUGAGAGGACGACCAGCCACACUGGGACUGAGACUCGGCCCAGACUCCUACGGGAGGCAGCAGUGGGGAAUUUUGGACAAUGGGGGCAACCCUGAUCCAGCCAUCCCGCGUGUGCGAUGAAGGCCUUCGGGUUGUAAAGCACUUUUGGCAGGAAAGAAACGUCGCGGGCUAAUACCCCGUGGAACUGACGGUACCUGCAGAAUAAGCACCGGCUAACUACGUG
rnacentral:rRNA from 1 species